CUACGGGGUGCACCAGUGAGGAAUCUUGCGCAAUGGGGGAAACCCUGACGCAGCCACGCCGCGUGGGUGAAGAAGGCCUUCGGGUCGUAAAGCCCUGUCAGGUGGGAAGAACCGCAUUGGAUUUAAUAAAUCCCUUGCCUGACGGUACCACCAAAGGAAGCACCGGCUAACUCCGUGCCAGCAGCCGCGGUAAUACGGAGGGUGCAAGCGUUGUUCGGAAUUACUGGGCGUAAAGAGUGUGUAGGCGGCUGGGUAAGUCAUAUGUGAAAGCCCUCGGCUUAACCGAGGAAGUGCAUGUGAUACUGCCUAGCUUGAGUCCUGGAGAGGGGUGUGGAAUUCCCGGUGUAGAGGUGAAAUUCGUAGAUAUCGGGAGGAACACCAGUGGCGAAGGCGACACCCUGGACGGAGACUGACGCUGAGACACGAAAGCGUGGGUAGCAAACAGGAUUAGAUACCCCCGUAGUC
rnacentral:rRNA from 1 species